GACGAACGCUGGCGGCGUGCUUAACACAUGCCAGUCGAACGGAAAGGCCCUGCUUGCAGGGUACUCGCGUGGCGAACGGGUGAGUAACACGUAGGUGGUCUGCCCUGCACUUCGGGAUAAGCCUGUGAAACUGGGUCUAAUUCCGGAUAGGAGCCAUUUUUAGUGUGAUGGUUGGAAAGUUAUUUCGGUGUAGGAUGAGCUCGCGGGCUAUCAGCUUGUUGGUGGGGUAAUGGCCUACCAAGGCGGCGACGGGUAGCCGGACUGCGAGGGUGGACGGCGACAUUGGGACUGACGUACGGCCGAGACACCGACGGGAGGCAGCAGGGGGGAAGAUUGCACGAGGGGCGCAGGCUUGAUGCAGCAACGCCGCGGGGGGGAUGACGGCCUUCGGGUUGUAAACUCCUUGCGCUAGGGACGAAGCUUGUUGUGACGGUACCUAGAGAAGAAGCACCGGCUAACUACGUG
rnacentral:rRNA from 1 species